UAAAGCAGAUAUAUUGCUUUGCAAAAAUAUUCAAUCGCAGAUAAUUUUGGCAUUCCGUUUCUUUGCAGAUUACUCUAUUUUAAACCUUUUAUGUAAUAGAUACAUUUCAUUUUGUCCAUGAACUUAUUUUGCCUUAACAUUUUUUGUACUGUAAAAUCCAUAGUUUCUGAAACAAUUUUGAUGUCUGAGAUUUAAAACACUUGGAAAUCCAUCGUGAAGUCGGGUAUUUUUGUAUUUCUGUUAUUUCCUCUGUUAGCAUUUAAGUCUGAUAGAGAGGGUAUGUGGAACAUAAACAUUUGGGCCAUGCCCUUUAAAAAAGGGGGUUUAAUUCAUGUGCGUAAAGUGUCGUUCCAGAUUAGCCUGUGCAGUCCACUCAAGCUAAUCAGGGACGACACUUUCUGCUUUUAUAUUUGUCUUUUAUAGAAAGUCAAUUAGCAAAAGUCCAAUGUUGGCACAAAGUGUCGUCCCUGAACAGAAUUUGCUGACUACACAGGCUGAUCUGGGACGACUGACUGCACAGGCUGAUCUGGGACGACUGACUGCACAGGCUGAUCUGGGACGACUGACUGCACAGGCUGAUCUGGGACGACUGACUGCACAGGCUGAUCUGGGACGACUGACUGCACAGGCUGAUCUGGGACGACUGACUGCACAGGCUGAUCUGGGACGACUGACUGCACAGGCUGAUCUGGGACGGCACAUUUGAAUGAUGAUGAGCUGAUAUUUAUAUGCAAAGUUAUAUCAUAUUGCAAAGCUUUACUUUGGAAAUAACAAUUUACCCUUUGCAUGCUGGGAAAUUUGUCGUCUGCUAAAAUGUCGUCUGCUUAAUUUCUAAAAUUAGCAUUUUCUUCGAUUUUUUUUCAUAAAAUAUUAUCAGAAUAGCAAACAGUUUGGAUCCUGAUGAGACGCCACGUUCUGUGGCGUCUCAUCUGGAUCCAAACUGUUUUCAAAGGCCUUUAAAAUUGGGUUCCGGCACUGAAAGGGUUAAGACAUUGACUUGAUUUGAUGAACAAUCUAGACAAGCCUGCGUAUCUGCGCAGUCUGGUCAGGAGCUACACUAGAAGCAAAUGGGAUAAACCCAUUUUUGCAUGACAUGGCUUAUAAUUCUUACCAUUGUUUCUAUUAAUAUAGAGAAUAAUAGGUUAGUGUUGAUUAUAGAUCAGGUUUAUCAUGCAAGGCUUAGAAAACAAAAAGCACGAGACUUGGCACGAGCAUGAUAAACCUGAUCUAUAAUCAACACUUAUCUAUUAUUAUAUUUAUCCAAAUUUUUAUUUAGUUAACCUUUUUAUUUAAACAGAAUUAGUUUGACUGGAUAAUUUCGCUGGAUUUAUGGCGUCAUUUCGUCGAAAUAUUGACAUCAUUUCCUGCCGUUGAUUAUAGAUGGUAUUUAAUCAACGGGGCUUUAAUCAACCGAAUUCGCUGUAAAAGUGGGAUAAAAAUGAUUAAAAUAAAACACCAAGUAUUGAAUCUGCCCUUUUUCAUAAAGCGAUAAUGCAAUUUUUGUAUAAUUUCAACAUAUUUUUAAUUGUAUUGAACAUUUUUGCACAAUUCGCUGAUGAUGUUGUUAAAAAAAUUACACGUGUGUACUUUUGUUGUAAAAUGGUCAUGUUGAUUUUUGUCAGUGUUGCACAUUUGUUAUUAAAUGGUGUCAUUUGUGUGCGUUUUUGAUUUGUACCAUGUUUAAAUCACUGGGCAGUUGUUGAUUUUUUAUUAAGCAUAAUAAAGCCAGGAUCUGAACAAAUUAUUAUAGAGUUACAUCACAAAUUUAAACUGAUGAUAUUUUCUAAUCACUUGUUGUUCUCAAUAAAAAUUUUGCCUGAUGGACUGGCUCAAUGAUUAUUGUUAUACUUUUGUUUACACUUCAAUACAAAUGUUUUAAAGCCAUUUCAACUGUUAAGCAUCAAACUAGUGUACCUUAUAACAAAAUGUAAACUGGAUUUUCACAUCAUUAUAUUUUAAGCCCCUUAAUACAUUUCAGGUUUGUUUAAGCAUUCUUGAUUAUAUUAAAUGUAAGAAAUUAAAAUGUUGAUUUUGAAGUUUUUAUUAAAGUAAAUUCAUUAUUAAACAUUGAAAUGUUAUGAGUUAUAUAUGGUAUAAUGGAUGAACAGUGAUGUGGAUCUUAAAAAUUUGGAGCAUUUUCUUAAUUUUUUUGAGUAACAAGGGCACAUAAUGAGUGUUUUCUAUCAAUCCCAUUUUACCUGAUACUUGCUAAUGUAUGUUCUAUAAAUACAUGUACAUAAAACAAUCAUAAUAAAAUAAUUGUCAAUUCUCAAUUUUGUAAGUGAAACAUUUUGAUGUAUAAUCAAGUGAUAAAGUGACACAAUGACUCUUACAGUUGCUCAAGUGAUAAAUUAUAUAUAAAAAAAUCGUCAUAUGUUUAUGUAGCUGACAAAAAGUGGAAACAGGGUCUUUUUGUUUUUAUUGGCAUCAUUUUUCCUUUACAUAUAAAAAUGAGAAAUUAUAAUAUUUGUUGAUAUGUUACGGAAGUCUGAUUGGUGUAUUAUUGUGGAUGUAUCAGAAACCAAUUUUCAUUGAUUUAUCCCAAACUACUCAAUGUAUUGCAACAACUUUGCCUUCUAUUGAAUAUUUGCUACAAGCAAUUAUAGUUGAUUAGAUUUGAGAGAGAGAAAGAGUUUUACAAUGUAAAUUUUAAGACUGAAAAUCAGAACGCAAUUUUCAUGUAAGAAUAUGUAGCUAGUUUUGUUCUUGUAUUUUGUGCAUUUUUUUAAUUUUCAUGCCCCCCGUAGGGUGGCAUAUAGCAGUUGAACUGUCCGUCCGAAAACUUUUACAUUGGCCAUAACUUUUGCAAUAUUGAAGAUAGCAACUUGAUAUUUGGCAUGCAUGUGUAUUUCAUGGAGCUGCACAUUUUGAGUGGUGAACGGUCAAGGUUAAGGUCAUCCUUCAAGGUCAAAAGUAAAAAAAUAAAUCAAAGAGGAGUUAUAAGCUUUAAAAGUGAGAUAAUUUCUAAACCUGCCAAAUGCUAUAUUGAAAUUUUAUUUCAAAGCGGCGCAAUAGGAGGCAUUGUGUUUUUGACAAACACAUAACUUGUUAAUAACCUAUACAACUAAAAACAACUAUUUUGUUUAGUUCACCAAUGGUAAACGUAUGUUAAAUAUUUAACCUGCAUGUUAUGCAAUGAUGCUGUUUUUGAAUUGCUGUGAUCACUGUGAGCAUUGUCAAAACACUAGCCUAGGUUCUAUAGAACUGGUCUUCGAUGUGAUCACUGUGAGCAUUGUCAAAACACUAGCCUAGGUUCUAUAGAACUGGUCUUAGAUGUGAUCACUGUGAGCAUUGUCAAAACACUAGCCUAGGUUCUAUAGAACUGGUCUUAGAUGUGAUCACUGUGAGCAUUGUCAAAACACUAGCCUAGGUUCUAUAAAACUGGUCUUAGAUGUGAUCACUGUGAGCAUUGUCAAAACACUAGCCUAGGUUCUAUAGAACUGGUCUUAGAUGACAUGGCUAGUUUUACAGUAGUUUAAAUGAACAAAUUAUAAGUUUUAUUUGAAAAUAAUGUAUUACUACUACUAUAGUGUUAUUUAUAAAUAUUAAUAUUUUAUAGUGUUAUGUGCAUGUGCUGUUUUAUAAGUAAAAUUCACUAUAUUAUUGUGUGUAUACAUGUAUAUUGGUGAAAUUUAUGCAAAAUUGUAAGAUAAGUGCUUGACUUUUUUUAAAUGCUAACUGUUCAACGAAAAAAAAAUGAAAAUUUAAUUUUGUCAAUUAAAUGAUGUGUUUAAUCAACAUGGAGCAUUUCACUGGAUAUAACUAAUUACACAUAAGGAAUGUAUUAAUAGUUUAAACAAUAAAGGAUGCCAUCAAUAAGGUGUUAAAACACCUACUUUCUAACACUAACAUGAAUUAAAUAGUGCUAUAGUUUAUAAGUUCACCAUCAAUUAUUAGUUUGGCUUUUAAAUUUCUCUUUGAGAUCGCUUUCAAUGUGAUAAGAAAAUAUUCAAGGAAGGUCAUUAUGAAGAAUAUGAAUUAAAAUGUCAAAAACUGAACGUUUUAUUACUUGCGUCCAAUAUAAUUUACUUUAGCAAUUUUGUUUAAAUACCGAUAGCCAACCUGUUUACUCCAACUUCAUUCCAAUUAUUAUGCCCCCCUUCGAAGAAGAGGGGGAAUAUUGCUUUGCACAUGUCGGUCGGUCUGUCGGUCAGUCCAUCCACCAGGUGGUUGUCAGAUGAUAACUCAAGAACGCUUGGGCCUAGGAUCAUGAAACUUCAUAGGUACAUUGAUCAUGACUCACAGAUGACCCCUUUUGAUUUUGAGGUCACUAGGUCAAAGGUCAAGGUCACAGUGAUCCGAAAUAGUAAAAUGGUUUCCGGAUGAUAACUCAAGAACGCUUAGGCCUAGGAUCAUGAAACUUGAUAGGUAGAUUGAUCAUGACUCGCAGAUCACCCCUAUUGAUUUUUAGGUCACUAGGUCAAAGGUCAAGGUCACAGUGAUUUGAAAUAGUAAAAUGGUUUCCGGAUGAUAACUCAAGAACGCUUAGGCCUAGGAUCAUGAAACUUGAUAGGUGGAUUGAUCAUGACUCGCAGAUGACCCCUAUUGAUUUUCAGGUCACUAGGUCAAAGGUCAAGGUCACAGUGACACGAAAUAGUAAAAUGGUUUUCGGAUGAUAACCCAAGAACGCUUAUGCCUAGGAUCAUGAAACUUCGUUGGUAGAUUGAUAAUGGCUGGAAGAUGACCCCUAUUGAUUUUCAGGUCACUAGGUCAAAGGUCAAGGUCAUGGUGACCUGAAAUAGUAAAAUGGUUUCCGGAUGAUAACUCAAGAACGCUUAUGCCUAGGAUCAUGAAACUUCAUAGGUACAUUGAUCAUGACUGGCAGAUGACCCCUAUUGAUUUUCAGGUCACUAGGUCAAAGUUCAAGGUCACGGUGACCCGAAAUAGUAAAAUGGUUUCCGGAUGAUAACUCCAGAACACUUAUGCCUAGGAUCAUGAAACUUGAUAGGUAGGUUGAUCAUGACUCGCAGUUGACCCCUAUUGAUUUUCAGGUCACUAUAUCAAAGGUCAAGGUCACGGUGACCUGAAAUAGUAAAAUGGUUACCUGAUGAUAACUCAAGAACGCUAAUGGCUACAAUCAUGAAACUUCAUAGGUACAUUGAUCAUGACUCGUAGAUGACCCCUUUCGAUUUUGAGGUCACUAGGUCAAGGUCAUGGUGACCCCAAAUAGUAAAAUGGUUUCCGGAUGAUAACUCAAGAACGCUUAUGCCUAGGAUCAUGAAACUUCAUAGGUACAUUGAUCAUGACUGGCUAAUGACCCCUAUUGAUUUUUCAGGUCACUAGGUCAAAGGUCAAGGUCACAGUGACAAAAAACAUAUUCACACAAUGGCUGUCACUACAACGGAGAGCCCAUAUGGGGGGCAUGCAUGUUUUACAAACAGCCCUUGUUUAAAUAUGUAUUUUAUGCAACUAGUGUUCAGGUCACAGAUUAUGUCACUCUUUUAUGCCUUUCUCCUCAUUGCGCAGGGAUUUUGGAAAGUGGUGUACACCAUUGCUUGAUAACUUAUCAUUUCAUUUGAUAUAUUUUUCCAUAUCAUGACAACGCGGCCUUUUAGCUGGAUGCCUUGCAUGCAGGCAAUAUUCCUGUUGAUGUUAUUUUCCUGUUUGUUUUGUUGCUUUUUGUAAGGAUAUAUUGAGUAUGUUGCUUGUUAUACACAUUUAUAUAUUCUGCAUUAUACAAUUUUUAUUAGUUGAAUAAAACAUUGGUGAUGAAUCUAAUAA